AUGUCCAGAUUUCCUGCUUCACUGGCCUCAGGAUACAGGGUCCAGCAUUCUUCCUGGAAGAUGGCAAAUCAGCCAUUUCACUAAAUGAUGCCCUGAUGUGGGCGAAAGUAAACCCUUUCUCUCCGUUGGGGACGGGUAUACGCCUCAACCCCUUCUGAGCACAAAUACAACAAAUGUGAGCAGUAUUCUUGCUAGUCUGGCUCUGGAAAGGCGACAAGGCAUCCAUUUUCUCUCCGAAAGCUUGAUGUAUGUCAUAAAACAAAAGAAAGUCAAAUUGUGUUCAAAUCAACAUUAUUUGAGGCUUUACCGUUCCAUGCUGUGCUUACUUCAUUCAGGAUUGCAGCUUAUAUGCAAACAAUCAGCAAAAGCAAGAGUGCUGCUGUAGUGAACAUACAGUACACAAGGCCAACAGCACAAAUGCGAUAUUUCUUUUAUACAACAGUUCAGUAAACAAGAAAUCAAUAUAAAGUAAUGCAAGUUCUUUUGUUUCAAAAGAAGGCAAAUGCAUUUUUGACAAGCAACUAGACACUGAUGCACUAACAUAGGCAAGCAGAAGGAUAUGAAGAGUAAAUAUCUUCUCGUCACGCACAAGUACAUGUUAAUUUGAUACAGGCCAACCAAAUUAGAGCACCACAACUAACUGUUGUAUAAAGAGAGAUUUAUGCUGGAAACAGUAAUGAAUGUUACAUAUGAAGCAGGAUAUGUAAUGCCUUUCUUCCUUAUCUUAAAACAUAAGCGGGUUCAGGGAUUCGGGUUUAGGUGUCACGUUCAGGUCUUAGGGUUGAGAUCUGUAGCCCAAAGAUUGUAAUUCUAGGUGGUACUGUCACUGAUAUUAUGGAGUUUGAGCAUUUUCAUCAAGCAGCCUGAAUGUUUAGAAGAUCUAGACAUCUUUUAAUUCAAGACUUACAGGGUAUUCAUCUGUACAUUUUUGUUUGUGCAUUUGAUUUCACAAGAGAGACAUAUUAGUUAGCUGCAAAAGUUGUUUGCCAUGUCUGUUGUCUGCUUUAUAUGAACAAUAUAUUUACUGACUAGUGAAUAUACACUUAUUACUUAUUUUAGUAGAACCAAAUACUAGAAAUGAAACCUCAUAUUGUAACAAUCACUAUUUAAUGUUACUUCAUUUCAUUCAGGAACUAUUAUGAAUGGGUAUACAGAGCAGGUCUGGGGCCAGAUGUGUAAUAUUUCUAUUCAUAAAGUAUGGCAACACUAUUUACAAAUAGUUAAUAGGACAUUAAGUCUUGCUGUUACAUUCAAAAUACUGUAUGUCUAGAUGAACUUAGGCAAUAAGUUUGAGAAACUGCACCUAUAGAGUGAGGAAGCAAGACAUUUCUGCUUAUACAUAGCUAUAUGUUUGGAGUGCAUUUCUGAAGUUAGGAAAUAAAAGACAAAAAGUGUCGUUUGUAUUGGUAAAAUCAUCAGUUGCAAUGGCUGUCAUACAUAGCUGGGUAUAUGAAAUGGUUUGGAGGAAUUAUUUUAUGAAAUUUUGGUUUUAUGUUAGAAAAUACAGAUACAGAGACUAUUUUCAUCUAAUUGCACUGUGAAAUGUAUUUAUCUGUAUAUAGUUCUAGAAUUUAGAAUGUCUGAACUCUAAAUAAAGCUCUAAUGGGUGUACAUAGCAUAUUCAUAUGAUAAUUGUU